rnacentral:rRNA from 1 species
GAUGAACGCUGGCGGCGUGCCUAAUACAUGCAAGUCGAGCGAACAGACGAGGAGCUUGCUCCUCUGACGUUAGCGGCGGACGGGUGAGUAACACGUGGAUAACCUACCUAUAAGACUGGGAUAACUUCGGGAAACCGGAGCUAAUACCGGAUAAUAUAUUGAACCGCAUGGUUCAAUAGUGAAAGACGGUUUUGCUGUCACUUAUAGAUGGAUCCGCGCCGCAUUAGAUAGUUGGUAAGGUAACGGCUUACCAAGGCGACGAGGCGUAGCCGACCUGAGAGGGUGAUCGGCAACACUGGAACUGGGCCACGGUCCAGACUCCUACGGGAGGAAGCAGUAGGGAAUCUUCCGCAAUGGGCGAAAGCCUGACGGAGCAACGCCGCGUGAGUGAUGAAGGUCUUCGGAUCGUAAAACUCUGUUAUUAGGGAAGAACAAAUGUGUAAGUAACUAUGCACGUCUUGACGGUACCUAAUCAGAAAGCCACGGCUAACUACGUG